UAAUAAGCACAUUAGUGAUUCUGAUAUAGGUACUUCAUGGAACACACUUUCGAAAAUCUAGCUUCUGUCUCUUUUUUAAAAGGAAGCUAUUCCUUUGUUUUUAUUGUUUUAGAAUCUUCUGUGUAAUUCUUUGCUGGCACAAAAGACCCCUUUGAAAGGAAGAAAGUGAAAAAACGCUGCAAACAGAUAAGAGUGAUGACAUCAAAACAAAGAAUGAAUGUAUCGUGUGUAGAGAGCUCCAAAACAUUGUACCUUUGUCUGAUUGGCCUGUUCAAUUAAAUUGAAUUCAAUUAAAUUGCUCUUUGGUUAUUAGCAGAAAGUUACACGUGCCUAAAAUCUUUCACUAACAAAAAUCAGAGCUUUUAUUAUUCAGUAUUAAAAAGCCCAACCCAAUGAGUUUCUAUGCCAAAUUUUUCAAUUAGGAAGCCUACAGUGUUGGAAUAUCAUGACCCAGUUUUCGUUUUGAUUUCCCCCUCUAACUUCUUACAUCUAGUGCAGUCUGCUCUGUGGUGUUUCCAACUUAGAAAAAGUCAGUGGCCAAGAAGGACACCUGUCGGCCACAGAAAAGAGGAGCCUCUCCCUAAAAGCAGCCUGUCUCUGCAGUGGAGAUGCUGAAGGCCUAUCCAUGCAGCCCUCUGCCUGGCGUGGGGCUUGGCUAAUCCAAGAGGCCAAAAGAGCCUUCCUCCCAAAAGGAUCGCCUCAGCCCCCCAGACAUUGCUUUGUAUGGGUUCAGCUCAUCCAGCUGACUUAGAGCUUCCGGAACGAGAGCAACCUAAGACCUCAUUUCCCCAGCUCUGCCAGGGCAUGGAUAAUCCAGAUCAUUGAAAUAGACUCUUCCAGAGAGCAAACCUGGACAUCGCUCACGAAGCUUGUUGGAAGUCUUUCAGAAACCACGUUACAUGCUUAUGUUCCUUUGAAAAGAGGAAGCGCUGAGCACAAUGUAAGCUUUGUGCCAUUAUCUUUGUUGGACCUUCCUCAGUAGGCGGAGCGGUGCCACAGAGAGGUUGCACCUGCCGUCCCUGAGCAUGGACACGUGGCUGCUGCGUAUCUCUGGCAUUUUCUUCGUCUAAUCUGCCAUGGGAUUAAAAAAACAGAGUCACCGGUUAGUUAGCCUUGUACAUGAGAAUGAAGAAGACUGACAUUUGGUGAAGCAACAAGGGCAGAGACUUGAAGUCCGGUAGCUCUGGAUUCAGGUGCGGGGUCUAUCUAUGGUCCAUUGGACGGCCUCAUGGGGCUAGUCAUUCAACCUCUUGGAGCCCGUUUUUUCAUCUGUAAAAUGAGGUGUGAGGAUCACACGAGGUGUCGUGGGCAAAGUGUGUGGCACCCAGAACUGUUAUUAAAACCAGUGGAGGAGGUGGGGAGCAGGUACCAUCCCGGCCCCGCCCACACCCCUGCAUACCCAUCACGUCUUAUAUAACCAUCUCCCACCUUCCAGCUGCAGACACCUGCAACUUUGUGCUGAGGGCUUUCUCUGGUCAUCGCCCCCUGCUUGGCUGGAGCUCAGAGAAGGCCAGAAGUUCCCAGAAGCAUCCCCUUGGUGUCCCAGGAGUGAUGCUCAACAACUGACAGACAGUAGAACCCCGGCUCCCAGCUGUGGUUGGGGUGGGGGUGACUGAGAUGGGCUCUCCUUGUUCCCCAGUGGGACUGUCCACAAUGUCACCUGCUUGAUGACACCCUUGUAUGGGCUGUCCUUCCCAUUCUGUCCCAUGUCCUCACUUCUCCUGCAGGGCCUCCUGGGAUCACUUCCUAAAUAAACUACAAGUCCUCAGA